GCUAACUACGUGCCAGCAGCCGCGGUAAUACGUAGGGGGCAAGCGUUAUCCGGAUUUAUUGGGCGUAAAGCGCGCGUAGGCGGCUUGUUAAGUCAGAUGUGAAAACCGGGGGCUCAACCCGCGGCCUGCAUCUGAAACUGGCAGGCUUGAGUCUGGUAGAGGAAAGUGGAAUUCCUGGUGUAGCGGUGAAAUGCGCAGAUAUCAGGAGGAACACCAGUGGCGAAGGCGGCUUUCUGGGCCACGACUGACGCUGAGGCGCGAAAGCUAGGGGAGCGAACAGGAUUAGAUACCCUUGUAGUC
rnacentral:rRNA from 1 species